AUAGAGGUAACCUCCCACCCCAACUCUAUUAUCAGCUUUUAGGUUUUCUUGCAUUUAUACAAGUGUACAAGAGCAAAGAAUUAAUGAUUUCAAAAAGAAAAGAUAACUUAAACAUAACACUAGAAUAAAUUUGCACCCUUGGUUUGAUCCCUUGUAAAAUAUUUAAGCAACUGAAAAAUGCACCAAACCAUGUAUGGCAGGGUAACAGCCGAAUAGAAAGUUUUGUUAUCACUGGGACUGUUUAAUUGGCACCUA
rnacentral:lncRNA from 1 species